CUCGCCGGAGCGGCCCCGCUGCCUCCCCCGCGGCGGUAGCGGUGGCUCCCCGCCCUCUCGGCUGGGGCUGCUCCUGAUCGUCCCUGCCCGGCGACCCUGCCCGGCGAGGUGCUGGGGUGCGCGCGUCGACCAGAAAAGCCGGAUGCUUGUUAAAAGUCGUUUAAUUCGGAGCGCUCGCUUGUGUUGGGGAGGCUGAGCUGAAGACAGAGAAGAUGUAGCUGAGUGUAGAGACAAUUUCAUGCAGGAAACUGUUGUGCUGAAAGGAAGAAUUAACUGGUCUUUCAACUUCAGCCUUUUUAUUGUGAGAGGGGAGAUCACAGAAGUGUUACCAUGAGGAGAACAGCAGCGAAAGGUAAGGCCUGGUAGCUUUAAUCCAAGAGGAAAGAAAGUGGGUAACCUGCUAAAUUCUCUUUUUGGAGCUGGUGGGAUACAACAUGACAAUUUGCUAUACUGUUAGAUUAAGGAGGACAGUUUGUGAUAUCUGCUGAAUACAGGUAAGUUCAAACUUCACAUUGUUUUAGAAUACAUAUGCUGAAUUUGGCUGUCUUGGAUUCUACAAAUUUCAUGAGAAGAAUUCUGUCUUGUGACAGUCUAGAAACCAUUACUGCACUCUGAAAUUGAGGAAUGUGUCUAGAUGUGCUGAAAUGUAUGGCUUUAUUCUGGAGCUGUCUAUAAUUUAGCAGGAUAAUAACUAAG
rnacentral:lncRNA from 1 species